GAUGAACGCUGGCUACAGGCUUAACACAUGCAAGUCGAGGGGAAACGACGGGGAAGCUUGCUUCCCCGGGCGUCGACCGGCGCACGGGUGAGUAACGCGUAUCCAACCUGCCUCUGACUGAGGGAUAACCCGUCGAAAGUCGGCCUAAUACCUCAUGGUAUCGUCUGCGGGCAUCCAACGACGAUUAAAGAUUUCAUCGGUCAGGGAUGGGGAUACGUCUGAUUAGCUUGUUGGCGGGGUAACGGCCCACCAAGGCUACGAUCAGUAGGGGUUCUGAGAGGAAGGUCCCCCACAUUGGAACUGAGACACGGUCCAAACUCCUACGGGAGGCAGCAGUGAGGAAUAUUGGUCAAUGGGCGAGAGCCUGAACCAGCCAAGUAGCGUGCAGGAAGACGGCCCUAUGGGUUGUAAACUGCUUUUAUGCGGGGAUAAAGUGAGGGACGUGUCCCUCAUUGCAGGUACCGCAUGAAUAAGGACCGGCUAAUUCCGUG
rnacentral:rRNA from 1 species